AUGCCCUCUACAUCUUGGAACUCACCCUGGAAGGAUACUGGAGACAGCUGUGUCCUAUGGUACCUGCUUGUUCACCAGACUGAGCAUCAGGAGCCUUCAUCUUCGGAACAUCAGUUUCCACAGCAUCUUGGCACCCCUGGGGGCAGUUUGAGGUCCAUAGAAGCCGGAAGCACUUUGUUCCAGAAUACAUUCGUCAACUCCAGAGAGACCACACCCUUGGGGCCGGAUGGAGAAGAUGGGACCGUGUUCUCUUGGAGAGCCCGGCUAGUAGGCCGAUUGGCUAGAGUUGAUUCCCAUGAGCAUUGCUGAAGUUGGGACAAACUCAAUUUUAAGUUAAGUGGAAAUAUUUUUAUUUGAGUUAAUGUACAUUGAAUCUGGUAAACACACAGAGUAUAUUACUACGCACUCUGGAAAUGUGCAGUCCGAUCAGCAAACAGAUUAGUUUUAAGUGAAAAGACACUGGCAGGCGCUUAAAUUCAUUGACUUGUUGAGAACGUCUAGAUUUGGAUACAAAUGCACUGGAACGCUACAUCAGUUUGGUGUCUCAGCCCAUCCGCACGGAGAAGCUAUUGAUUUUAGUUGAUAUGCAUUGAUUCCCAGAAAACAGGACGGCUUUUGAAAAUGAACUUCCAGUAAUUUCAGGGAGAAGCUGGCGCGUUUGUCUCCACGCGAGGCUGACUUGUUUUGUUAAACGUGUCUCUACGCCUCGAAGGAACAGAGCAGCAGACAAAUAUCUUCGUAUGAAUUAAAAUGCAUUGAUUCUUGGAGGGAAAUGAUGGUCUC
rnacentral:lncRNA from 1 species